AGAGCCAUUAAACACACUGAUAAUGUUUCUCUUUGCAGCCUGCUGAGCUGUGAGCCUGCUCCAGGCACUGCUGUCCUUGGUGCCCUGAGGUCUACACCUGUGGAACCAGGCGGUUGCUGCUCUGUGAUGUGAAUCAGCCUAGUGACACCAGCUCCCAUGGGAGAAGUGCCUGAUGCAGGCGAAGCAAGAGCUCCGCACCGAGCUACGCUCCCAGCAGAUGGGAGAUCCGCAGAGCUUCCUUCCAGGCGGCAGCCACACAGGACCAGCCCGGACAAAAGCACACUGAGUCUGUCCUUCCUGGGAGGGCACUUUUAGGGGACAGUGGCUCCCCCACCCGCUCAGUGGGGUCUGCCCGAAAUUCAGGUACAUGGUUUCAUUGACAGGAACUGAUUUAAAAGUCACUCAGCAGCAAGUGACCCACCUCAGUCUGGAAGCACACCUUUGUAAAGCCGCCCUUGCCCUGUUUCGCUGGCUCUGGGGGAGUGGGGAGGAGGCGGCUCCCAGAGAACCACGCAGGGUUUGGGGCUGGGUUUCCUCACCUGUGUCUCCUAAGAAAGGAGAAAUGAGGUGGAGUCCAGGUUCACCCCGCCACUCUCCUUCCUUCCUGAAAACCACAUCCUGAGCUAAGGAACGCAGUUCCUCCCAGAGAUCUUGAACAUGUUCAUUUGCUAAAUCCAUUUAUUUCUCCUUAAAAUUCUGCAGCACCAGGAUGCUAGUCACAGUGAAGGAAAAGGAGCUCAUUUACUUCAAAAUGAACCCAGCCAGAUGCCUACAGAGAUCACAUUUUUAUUUUCUCUUUCCCUAUUAAAAAAUAUGUCUUGUGA